rnacentral:tRNA from 1 species
UGGGGUUUAGGUUUAAAAAAACCUUCUGCCUUCAAAGCAGACAAUAAGUAAUAUUACUUAACCUUAA